rnacentral:rRNA from 1 species
AGGGUUUGAUCCUGGGCUCAGAACGAACGCUGGCGGAGUGCUUCAGACAUGCAAGUCGUACGCGAAAGUCACCUUCGGGUGGCGAGUAGAGUGGCGCACGGGUGAGUAACGCGUGGAUAAUCUGCCUUCGGGUUUGGGACAACCCCGGGAAACUGGGGCUAAUACCGAAUGAGACCACAGAGCCUUCGGGCUCAGUGGCCAAAGAUGGCCUCUUCUUGAAAGCUAUCGCCCGUUGAUGAGUCCGCGUCCCAUUAGCUUGUUGGUGAGGUAACGGCUCACCAAGGCUCCGAUGGGUAGCUGGUCUGAGAGGAUGAUCAGCCACACUGGAACUGAGACACGGUCCAGACUCCUACGGGAGGCAGCAGUCGGGAAUCUUGGGCAAUGGGCGAAAGCCUGACCCAGCAACUCCGCGUGAGGGAUGAAGGCCCUCGGGUCGUAAACCUCUGUCGGGAGGGGAAGAACGGGCCGCAGUCGAAUAGGCUGCGGUCUUGACGGUACCUCCAAAGGAAGCGCCGGCUAACUCCGUGCCAGCAGCCGCGGUAAUACGGAGGGCGCGAGCGUUGUUCGGAAUCAUUGGGCGUAAAGCGGGUGUAGGCGGCUUGGCAAGUCGGGUGUGAAUCCUGGG